rnacentral:rRNA from 1 species
AGAGUUUGAUCCUGGCUCAGGGUGAACGCUAGCGGCGUGCCUUAAGCAUGCAAGUCGAACGCCCAGCACCUUUUGUCUAUCAGAGUAAUUUAGCUUUGGUGGUUAGAAAGGUGCUGGGAGUGGCGGACGGGUGAGUAAUGCCUAGGAAUCUACCCAAAAGUGUGGAAUAACCAGCCGAAAGGUUGGCUAAUACCGCAUGUGGACUAAAGUCCAAAGCUCGUAACUGAGCGCUUUUGGAGGAGCCUAGGUCCCAUCAGCUUGUUGGUAGGGUAAAAGCCUACCAAGGCUAUGACGGGUAGCUGGUCUGAGAGGAUGAUCAGCCACAAUGGCACUGAGACACGGGCCAUACAUCUACGGAUGGCAGCAACUGGGAAUCUUUGGCAAUGGGCGAAAGCCUGACCAAGCGACGCCGCGUGGAGGAUGAAGGCCUUCGGGUUGUAAACUCCUUUUGCCAUAACACCGCGUUAUGGAGAAUAAGCACCUGCUAACUACGUGCCAGCAGCCGCGGUGAUACGUAGGGUGCGAGCGUUAAUCGGAAUUACUGGGCGUAAAGCGUGCGCAGGCGGUUUCGCAAGUCAGAUGUGAAAGCCCCGGGCUUAACCUGGGAACUGCGUUUGAAACUGUCCGGCUGGAGUAGGGGAGAGGGAAGUGGAAUUCCUGGUGUAGAGGUGAAAUUCGUAGAUAUCAGGAGGAACACCGGUGGCGAAGGCGACUUCCUGGCCCUAUACUGACGCUGAGACGCGAGAGCGUGGGUAGCAAACAGGAUUAGAUACCCUGGUAGUCCACGCCGUAAACGAUGUUCACUAGGUGUUGGGGGUAUUGACCCCCUCAGUGCCGGAGCUAACGCAUUAAGUGAACCGCCUGGGGAGUACGGUCGCAAGACUAAAACUCAAAGGAAUUGACGG